ensembl:lncRNA
UUUCUUCUAAUCCCAGCCAAAGCCAGAGACCAUGGAUGACACGAUCAAAUUUGUGGUUUUGCUGUCUGUCUUCGUUAUCAUUGCUGUGAUGCUGAAGGGUGUCUUCCACGUAAGCCAAUAUCUUGUUUGACUCCAGCUGUCUGUCUUGUAGCUGCAGUGCCCAGGUGACGAGCCCCGGGUGCCGCUGCAGAUGCCCCUGCACGUGCUGGGUACCACAGGAGAUGCUUUCCCAAGCCUGCAGCUUGUGGCAGCAUCCACAGCACCCAGCUCAGCGGGGUUCAGCCUGCCCGGGGGAAGCUUGGCCUGCCUUCUGUCCCAGCUCUCCCCAGCUUUGCCUUGCUCUCCUGCCUUCAGCCACGCAGCAAUGAGAUUGGGAGCUCUGGAAUUUUGGAAUGUUCUGGAGGAAGGGAGAAAGAGGAAAUUGGGAAGGAAGGACAGGUUUUUUUCUAAAAUCGCUGCUGCUGGCACAGACUUGCACGUGUGUAGAACAGACUGGGUUGGAUGAAGGAUGUUUUGGUCUCCCAUGUUCUGUAGAGUAUGACAAGAGAACUCUGGCAUUACAAGUCUCUCUCCUUCCCCAGGUGUGUUCCCAAUGUGCUGCAGUUCUUUGCCGACAGCUACUCAGCAGGAAAUCGUGGCUGAGAAGGUUGUCUGUAAAACUGCAACACAGAUGGAGGAAGAAGAAGUACAGGGAGGCAGAGCAUGCAGAGCAGGUGAGGGCAGGGAGCAGGUGCCAGUGCUGCUCCUCUGCCUGCACCACCUGCUCUUCCUCACCUUUUCAAAUCUUUGUCUUCCAUGGCAAUUUCCAGGACUUGCCUGAGCUCACCGAAGCUGAUUUGCUGAUUGUUCAAUAUAUCAUGGAUGUCUUAGAUAAAAAGGAACAAGAUUUGCAGAAAGAGACGCAGAAAGAGAACUCAGAUGUCUCCCAGGAAGAGAUAAAAUGUGAACCACAAGAGUGAAGGGGAAGAAUUCGGAUGCCAACACUUCUUCUCCAGCUCUUGUACCUAUAUGGCGUGGGAAUUAACAGCAGGUCAGCAAGCUUGUCUGGUUCCGACAUUGAUCUUAGCACAAUCUGUUUGUACCCGUGAGAAACAAAAGCAAGAAAUCUAAACAAUGCAGGGAGAGAAUGGCAACAAACUUGUACCUGGUGUUUUUCUGAAUGCUUAGUGUGAGUAAUGAGACAACUCUUGGUUCUUAAUUAAAAUAAUUAAGAACAAUUUAUUAAAAGAACAAUCAGGAAAAAAAAAUCAAGUACAAAAGAAUUAUAAAGCCAAAAAAAACCCCAAGUCUGCAGUGAUUAGAGACCUUGUUGGCCGAAGCAGCUCAAAAGUCCCAAAGCAGAGACCUUCCAACGCUGGGGUGACUUCAGCUAGCCCAAUGUCAGAAUGGUUAAAUGGCCUUUUGAAAGAGGUAGAGGCCUGUGCUCCCAGCAUCAAGCUUCCCCAGCAGCUCAUCUGAGGUGAAUGGCACCUCUGAGCUGGUGUCCAGCAGCUUUAUCAAGUCCGGGUCCUGCCCGUGACCGCCCACUGUCCAGCCUCCAUGGUCCUGGAUGAUCGGUGGUGUCUUGAGGUGAGGUAAUCUCAGUCUGCCAAUGGCUCCCUCUUGUCUCGGGGAAAAAUGCCAUCGGCUCCAAAGGCAGGAGAAGUCCUCAUUAGUAUUCCAGGUUGCCGUGGUGCUGAGUUGCAGGCCAACGGCCAGGUUCUAAAAAUAGCUCCCUGUCAGUUCAAAGGUCUGCUUUUUGGCAAAGCUCAAAACUCACUUAAAACUUACACAGGUUAAGAACACUUGGUAAAAGGUUUGAAACUGGGCUAUAAGUAUUUCAGAGAACUCUUAAAAACAGGGUAAUUAACUUGGACACAUACAGGAAUUAAGACAUUGUGGGUUUUGACACUUUUUAGGGACUAAAGAGGGUGUUAUAAACAUAUAGUAUUGGCUUCUCGCAAAGUAUUAAGGUAGAUAUUAUAUAAUGUUAGAAAUGCUUUUUGCUGUGUGGAUAUAGUUUUCUCUCGUUUUAGCAAGAAUGUUAGCAAGUGUGAGCAAGUAAGAUAACCUCCAAGCGAGCAGAGGAUGAGGCCCAAGGAGCUGCUAAUCAACACUUUGUCCAGGGAACAAAAGGGCCCAAAGGCUGCUCCGCCCGGAGAACGGGCGGCCAGGAGGGUCCAGAGCCCUUAUCACCGCUCUGGCCGGGGGGCAAAGAGGCCCAAAGCUGCAAUCAGCCCUGACUGUCUGGAGAAUUAAGAGAUCCACCCUACCAUCGACUCUUACCUAGCGGGCCCAACCCCAAGAAUCAAAAGAAAUAAAACCGCAAGGCAGAAGACUACGCAUGCUCUAAAAAGGCGGAACCAAGGAGUGGCCAUGCAGAACAGCUCCAGGAAAAGUUUGAAUAUGAAUAGAGAACAGACAGUAAAAAUGGUAUAAAAAGGACUCACCUUGGGCAUCAGGGGUGCUCUUGGCAGAGCGCCAAGGCACCCAGCCGUUACCCCUUUG